UACGUAGGGAGCAAGCGUUGUCCGGAAUCAUUGGGCGUAAAGCGCGCGUAGGCGGCCCGAUAAGUCCGCUGUGAAAGUCAACGGCUCAACUGUUGGAUGCCGGUGGAUACUGUCGGGCUAGAGUACGGAAGAGGCAAGUGGAAUUCCUGGUGUAGCGGUGGAAUGCGCAGAUAUCAGGAGGAACACCAAUGGCGAAGGCAGCACUCUGGGACGUGACUGACGCUGAGACGCGAAAGCGUGGGGAGCAAACAGG
rnacentral:rRNA from 1 species